UACGAAGGGGGCUAGCGUUGUUCGGAAUCACUGGGCGUAAAGCGCACGUAGGCGGAUCUUUAAGUCAGAGGUGAAAUCCCAAGGCUCAACCUUGGAACUGCCUUUGAUACUGGGGAUCUUGAGUCCGGGAGAGGUGAGUGGAACUGCGAGUGUAGAGGUGAAAUUCGUAGAUAUCGGGAGGAACACCAGUGGCGAAGGCGGCGACCUGGACGGACACUGACGCUGAGACGCGAAAGCGUGGGGAGCAAACAGG
rnacentral:rRNA from 1 species